AACGCACAUUGCACCCUCUGGUAUUCCGGAGGGUAUGCCUGUUUGAGUGUCAUUAAUAUCUCAACACAGACAAGUUUUAUGACUUGCACUGAUGCUUGGAUGUUGAAGGUUGCUGGCAAUAUUUGUCAGCUCCUUUUAAAUCUAUUAGCAGAAACCUAUGCAAAAAGCUGGCUUCAGUUUGAUAAGCACUUAUCUGUAUUGCUGUUGCUAGUGAAAUGCUCUUGUUUCAGCUUCCAAUUGUCCAAUCCUUUGGACUGCCUCUCGAGGUAAUUUAAUCUUGACACUUGACCUCAAAUCAGGUAGGACUACCCGCUGAACUUAA
rnacentral:misc_RNA from 1 species